rnacentral:rRNA from 1 species
AUUGAACGCUGGCGGCAUGCCUUACACAUGCAAGUCGAACGGCAGCACGGGAGCAAUCCCGGUGGCGAGUGGCGAACGGGUGAGUAAAGUAUCGGAACGUGCCAAGCCGUGGGGGAUAACGUCGCGAAAGUUACGCUAAUACCGCAUACGAUCUAUGGAUGAAAGAGGGGGAUCGCAAGACCUCGCGCGAUUCGCGCGGCCGAUAGCAGAUUAGGUAGUUGGUGGGGUAAAGGCUCACCAAGCCGACGAUCUGUAGCUGGUCUGAGAGGACGACCAGCCACACUGGGACUGAGACGCGGCCCAGACGCCUACGGGAGGCAGCAGUGGGGAAUUUUGGACAAUGGGCGAAAGCCUGAUCCAGCCAUGCCGCGUGCAGGAUGAAGGCCUUCGGGUUGUAAACUGCUUUUGUACGGAACGAAAAGGUUUGGCCUAAUAAGCUGAGCUCAUGACGGUACCGUAAGAAUAAGCACCGGCUAACUACGUGCCAGCCGCCGCAGUAA